GAUGAACGCUGGCGGCGUGCCUAAUACAUGCAAGUCGAGCGAACAGACGAGGAGCUUGCUCCUCUGACGUUAGCGGCGGACGGGUGAGUAACACGUGGAUAACCUACCUAUAAGACUGGGAUACCUUCGGGAAACCGGAGCUAAUACCGGAUAAUAUAUUGAACCGCAUGGUUCAAUAGUGAAAGACGCUUUUGCUGUCACUUAUAGAUGGAUCCGCGCCUCAUUAGCUAGUUGGUAAGGUAACGGCUUACCAAGGCAACGAUGCGUAGCCGACCUGAGAGGGUGAUGUGCCACACUGGAACUGAGACACGGUCCAGACUCCUACGGGAGGCAGCAGUAGGGAAUCUUCCGCAAUGGGCGAAAGCCUGACGGAGCAACGCCGCGUGAGUGAUGAAGGUCUUCGGAUAGUAAAACUCUGUUAUUAGGGAAGAACAAAUGUGUAAGUAACUAUGCACGUCUUGACGGUACCUAAUCAGAAAGCCACGGCUAACUACGUG
rnacentral:rRNA from 1 species